rnacentral:rRNA from 1 species
GACGAACGCUGGCGGCGUGCUUAACACAUGCAAGUCGAACGGUAAGGCCCUUCGGGGUACACGAGUGGCGAACGGGUGAGUAACACGUGGGUGAUCUGCCCUGCACUUCGGGAUAAGCCUGGGAAACUGGGUCUAAUACCGGAUAGGACCCUGGGAUGCAUGUCCUGGGGUGGAAAGCUUUUGCGGUGUGGGAUGGGCCCGCGGCCUAUCAGGUUGUUGGUGGGGUGAUGGCCUACCAAGGCGACGACGGGUAGCCGGCCUGAGAGGGUGACCGGCCACACUGGGACUGAGAUACGGCCCAGACUCCUACGGGAGGCAGCAGUGGGGAAUAUUGCACAAUGGGCGCAAGCCUGAUGCAGCGACGCCGCGUGAGGGAUGACGGCCUUCGGGUUGUAAACCUCUUUCAGCUAUGACGAAGCGCAAGUGACGGUAGUAGCAGAAGAAGGACCGGCCAACUACGUGCCAGCAGCCGCCGCAG